UACACUCCUACGGGAGGCAGCAGUGGGGAAUUUUGGACAAUGGGCGAAAGCCUGAUCCAGCAAUGCCGCGUGAGUGAAGAAGGCCUUCGGGUUGUAAAGCUCUUUUGUCAGGGAAGAAACGGUGAAAGCUAAUAUCUUUUGCUAAUGACGGUACCUGAAGAAUAAGCACCGGCUAACUACGUGCCAGCAGCCGCGGUAAUACGUAGGGUGCAAGCGUUAAUCGGAAUUACUGGGCGUAAAGCGUGCGCAGGCGGUUUUGUAAGUCUGAUGUGAAAUCCCCGGGCUCAACCUGGGAAUUGCAUUGGAGACUGCAAGGCUAGAAUCUGGCAGAGGGGGGUAGAAUUCCACGUGUAGCAGUGAAAUGCGUAGAUAUGUGGAGGAACACCGAUGGCGAAGGCAGCCCCCUGGGUCAAGAUUGACGCUCAUGCACGAAAGCGUGGGGAGCAAACAGGAUUAGAAACCCCAGUAGUCCCAUG
rnacentral:rRNA from 1 species